rnacentral:rRNA from 1 species
GGUUCGAUCCUGGCUCAGAUUGAACGCUGGCGGAUAACUUACAUGCAGUCGAACGGCAGCACGGACUUCGGUCUGGUGGCGAGUGGCGAACGGGUGAGUAAUGUAUCGGAACGUUGCUAGUAGCGGAUAACUACGCGAAAGCGUAGCUAAUACCGCAUACGCCCUUCGGGGAAAGCGGGGGACCUUCGGGCCUCGCACUAUUGGAAACGACAAUAUCGGAUUAGCUGUUGGUGGGGUAACGGCUCACCAAGGCGACGCGAUCCGUAGCUGGUUUGAGAGGACGACCAGCCACACUGGGACUGAGACUUGGCCCAGACUCCUACAGGAGGCAGCAGUGGGGAAUUUUUGGACAAUGGGGGAAACCCUGAUCCAGCCAUCCCGCGUGUGCGAUGAAGGCCUUCGGGUUGUAAAGCACUUUUGGCAGGAAAGAAACGGCACGGGAUAAUACCCCGUGCAACUGACAGUACCUGCAGAAUAAGCACCGGCUAACUACGUGCCAGCAGCCGCGGUAAUACGUAGGGUGCAAGCGUUAAUCGGAAUUACUGGGCGUAAAGCGUGCGCAGGCGGUUCGGAAAGAAAGAUGUGAAAUCCCAGAGCUUAACUUUGGAACUGCAUUUUUAACUACCGAGCCGAGUGUGUCAGAGGAGGUGGAAUUCCGCGUGCCAGUGAAAUGCGUAGAUAUGCGGAGGAACACCGAUGGCGAAGGCAGCCUCCUGGGAUAACACUGACGCUCAUGCACAGCGUGGGGAGCAAACAGGAUUAGAUACCCUGGUAGUCCACGCCCUAAACGAUGUCAACUGGCUGUUGAGGCCUUCGGGCCUUGGUAGCGCAGCUAACGCGUGAAGUUGACCGCCUGGGGAGUACGGUCGCAAGAUUAAAACUCAAAGGAAUUGACGGGGACCCGCACAAGCGGUGGAUGAUGUGGAUUAAUUCGAUGCAACGCGAAAAACCUUACCUACCCUUGACAUGUCUGAUCCCGAAGAGAUUUGGGAGUGCUCGCAAGAGAACCGGAACACAGGUGCUGCAUGGCUGUCGUCAGCUCGUGUCGUGAGAUGUUGGGUUAGUCCCGCAACGAGCGCAACCCUUGUCAUUAGUUGCUACGAAGGGCACUCUAAUGAGACUGCCGGUGACAAACCGGAGGAAGGUGGGGAUGACGUCAAGUCCUCAUGGCCCUUAUGGGUAGGGCUUCACACGUCAUACAAUGGUCGGGACAGAGGGUCGCCAACCCGCGAAGGGGAGCCAAUCCAAGAAGCCCGAUCGUAGUCCGGAUCGCAGUCUGCAACUCGACUGCGUGAAGUCGGAAUCCGCUAGUAAUCGCGGAUCAGCAUGUCGCGGUGAAUACGUUCCGGGUCUUGUACACACCGCCCGUCACACCAUGGGAGUGGGUUUUACCAGAAAUGGUGUAGCCUAACCGUAAGGAGGGCGAUUACCACGGUAGGAUUCAUGACUGGGGUGAAGUCGUAGCCUAGGCCAA